GUUCUGCUGGAGGUUCCCAGACCACCCGUGUACCUGGCCGUCCCUGGUUGUCACAUCUGGCAGCGGUCUUGUCUCGUCCCCUCCUUCGAUUUGGCGGGCUGAGGGCGCUGACGGCUCCUGGCUGCCUUUCUCUGCGACCGAGUCCUAUGGAAACCAGAGGGGCUUACUACAGAGAAAACAGGCGUGUCUAGGAUUGCAAGGAGAGUUUGUUAUUAUUAUUGUUCAAGGUUAGAUUGGCUCGGAGGAAACCCUCUCCCAGAGGCCAUCUUCAUUCUUGGUAUAGAUCCAAGGUUUCCUGCCAGGGAACAAGGUCCUAUCGGGAAACGGAUGUUCUUUCAAACACAACAGAGUAGCUCGGAUGUGGGAAAUGAAGUGAGGCGGCUCAGCCAGAGGUGAUGUCGAAAGAUUCUGCAAAAAUAAAAAUAAAACAGAGAAUGCAAAA